rnacentral:SRP_RNA from 1 species
CUCGGGUAAGUCCUACACGACCAGCUCCCUCCCAAUCCCCCAGGUCCUGACCGAAGCAAGGGCAAGAGGUUGAGCGGUGCGAUGUAGCAAGCUUACCCU